AACAAGUUAAUGGUUUUAAAUAACACUACAUAGAUUAGAUAAUAGAUACACAAAGGGUAACACUACCUGAUCAAUGACGUUUAAGUUGGGUCGAGUUAUGUAUGGUGGUGGAUUUCGUAAAAAAAAAAUUCUGCUCGAAGUCAUGGAAUGGUCGAAAUCUAAUUAAUUUGUAUUAUUUAUAGUAUAAGAGAAGAUUCAGGCAAUUUAAGAAAAAAUCAUUGAUAAUUCAUUACUAUAAAUGGCAUGUUCGUGCAAGAAAAUCAAAAAAAGUUUUGUGGAACAAAAUAAAUAAAACACUAAAUACCUAAAAUUAGGCAUAAAACAGAUUUAUUUGUUUUUCACCUAUUUAGUAGAUUAACAGGCUCCAAGCCUCAAAACAAAAUAAAUGUACCAUGUAUUACGAUUAGGAAUGGUAUAUGGCAUUGCUGGUUUUAACUGUUUUAUUUAUCUGAGUAAUUACAUAAACUUUGGACAUCAUGUAUGGUUUGUCCGCGAUUGUAGCAAUCCACAUUUCAUCCCAGUCUGGAGCUUUUAUUCACUGGAAGCAGAAACAACAAUGGGUUGACCGUUGAAUGAAAGCGAAGGUCGGUGAUGAAUUUGAAUAAAAUUUCUUAUAAUGAAGUUUAGGAAAUUCUAAUCUUGGAACAUUCAAGGAUGUGUGAAAUAAUAAAUUGAAAUUAAUUCGGAGGAUAAAAACAUUUUUUGAAUUAUGAA